AGACUCAGGAGGCGUCUCUCCGAGGGUGUGGGCUGUGAUGGGGCCCUGUGCACCCAUCCAGGCUGCCCAGACCAGGAGAGCACAGGUCAGCCAGACACAUGAUGGGGGCACGCUAGAAACGCAGAAGGGGACGCAACAGCCACAUUCCAGUCCACAAAGACACCGCGCAGGCCCGUCCAUCUGCCCCGUGAAUGCCACCCAGGCAGAGACACACAUACAGCUGAGGCUGGGCCGGAUCCCAGAGCAAACCCUUGGGUGCCUCUGGAGGGAGCCCGCCAAGAGGGAUGGCUCAUAAACACUGGGGAAGGAACAGAAGGGGAGGGAGCAAAGGAACUCGGCCGCUCACCUCCGACCCAACCACUUCCUGAGAAGCCAUCUCUGUGGUCAUGGUGGUCCCAGGCCUGGCUCUCCCUGCGCCCACCCCCACCACCCAGUCACUCCACCCAGUCACCCCACCCAGCUGUGACCUGCCGCUUCCCUCCAUCUCACAUGCUUUCCCCUCACCUCCCUCAGGAAGCCUCCCCAACCUCUGGCCUCCAGUCCCAACAAGCCAUGCUCCUUCCAGAGGGAACCUCUGCCAGGGGAGCCUCCACUUUCUUGCUCCUGCCUCCCUACCUGGCACCCAGGCCGGCCCUGGUACCCUGGUACUGAAUAAAGGCACACGUCUAAAUGAUGUCGGGGGGAAUCUGCCCAGUGUUGGCACUGGAGCGAACACGACCCACUGCCAGCAUGGCCCACGAGCCACGCCCCCCCCAAGCCAGCACCUCCUCCCCAGAGGAAGCACGGGGCUCAAGGGGGCACGCCCCUGAAUGGGAGGUCACACAUGGUGAGGGCUCCCUUGUUCCCAGAGGCCUAGCUGUCUCCCUGCUCAGAUGCAGAGCUCACUAUGGGCCUCGCAGGGGCUUAAGCCGAGUCAUCUUCACAGCAGCUGCAGGUCCCGCUGACAUAGCUGACACAUAGGGAGCUAAAGUGACUUGUGCAAGGUCACAGGCUAGGAGUAGCAGCACGGGGCCCAGCACGAGGAACAGCCUCAGCAUCCCCCGCCUCCCCAACCCUGCAGCCUGCCCUGACUCCAAUCCCAGGGGAAUUCCCGAGCUGCAGGCAAAGGCUGAAGCAGGAGCCGACAAGCCCUGCUGAGCCCAGAGAGGUCUGGGCGGUCCCAGGAGGGCGUCUCCCUAGGGCUUUGAUGAGUUGGCGGCCGCCCAGGCACCUCUGCCUGCCUGCCCAGCAUGGCAGGUGCGUGGGCUGGAGCUUCUGCCCAGCCCUGCCCCACAGCCACAAUUAGGGAACGAGUGCAGAUAAAGCACGGGGGCCAGUUACAUCUGAAUUUCAGAUAAACAAUGAAUUGUUAUUUUAGUACAGUAUGAAAGUAUUUGGCCCCAAAGAACUGGAAGCAGGAAAAGGAACAGGUCCUCAUACACCCAUGCUCAUAGCAUUAUUCACCAGAGCCGGAAGGUAGAAACGAUGUCUCUCCACAGUUGAAUAGAUUGUUUCCACAAACUGUCUGUAGGUGCAUACAAUGGAAUAGGAUUAAUCCGUGAAAAGGAAGAAAUUCUGACACAUGCUCCAGCGUGGAGGAACCUUGAGGACAACACUGAGUGAAAUAAGCCAGACACGAAAGGACAGAUACGGCAAGACUCGACUUACGUGAGGUCCCUAGAGGAGUCGGAUUCAUAGAGACUGAAAGGAUGGCGGGCACCAGGGGCGGUGGAGAGGGGAAAUGGGGAGUUACUGUUUAAUGGGGACAGAGUUUCAGUUUUACAAGAUGAAAAGGGUCCUGGAGCUGGAUGGGGGUGACGGCCGCACAACAGCAUGAAUGGACUGAACGCCACUGAACUGAACUCUUGAAAAUGGUUAAACUGGCAAAUUUUGUUAUGCAUAUUUUGCCACAAAAAGCAAACAACUCUUCUCCCCAAAAAUAUCUGGGGUGUACUUACACUAAAUAUGUAGGGCAUAUUUACGCUCAACAUUUAUUUCCUUAUUUGAAAUUAAAGUAUUUGGGACACACUGC
rnacentral:antisense_RNA from 1 species